AGGUAGGGUGGCCGAGUAGGCGGCGAGUUGUAGCUUCGUGCACGGGCUAAUAAGCCCCCCUGUCAA
rnacentral:tRNA from 1 species